rnacentral:rRNA from 2 species
UCGUUUAUUUGAUAGUACCUUACUACUUGGAUAACCGUGGUAAUUCUAGAGCUAAUACAUGCUAAAAACCCCGACUCACGGAGGGGUGUAUUUAUUAGAUUAAAAGCCAAUGCCCUCCGGGGCUCACUGGUGAUUCAUAAUAACUUGUCGAAUCGCAUGGCCUUGCGCCGGCGAUGGUUCAUUCAAAUUUCUGCCCUAUCAACUUUCGACGGCUGGGUCUUGGCCAGCCAUGGUGACAACGGGUAACGGAGGGUUAGGGCUCGACCCCGGAGAACGAGCCUGAGAAACGGCUAUUACAUCCAAGGAAGGCAGCAGGCGCGCAAAUUACCCAAUACCGACUCGGUGAGGUAGUGACGAUAAAUACUGAUACAGGGCUCUUUUGGGUCUUGUAAUUGGAAUGAGUACAAUUUAAAUCCCUUAACGAGGAACAAUUGGAGGGCAAGUCUGGUGCCAGCAGCCGCGGUAAUUCCAGCUCCAAUAGCGUAUAUUAAAGUUGUUGCAGUUAAAAAGCUCGUAGUUGAACCUUGGGCCUGGCUGGCCGGUCCGCCUCACCGCGUGCACUGGUCCGGCCGGGCCUUUCCCUCUGGGGAACCGCAUGCCAUUCACUUGGUGUGUCGGGGAACCAGGACUUUUACUUUGAAAAAAUUAGAGUGUUCAAAGCAGGCCUAUGCUCGAAUACAUUAGCAUGGAAUAAUAGAAUAGGACGUGUGGUUCUAUUUUGUUGGUUUCUAGGACCGCCGUAAUGAUUAAUAGGGACAGUCGGGGGCAUCAGUAUUCAAUUGUCAGAGGUGAAAUUCUUGGAUUUAUUGAAGACUAACUACUGCGAAAGCAUUUGCCAAGGAUGUUUUCAUUAAUCAGGAACGAAAGUUAGGGGAUCGAAGACGAUCAGAUACCGUCGUAGUCUUAACCAUAAACUAUGCCGACUAGGGAUCGGACGGUGUUAUUUUUUGACCCGUUCUGGCACCUUACACGAAAG